rnacentral:rRNA from 1 species
UAGUAUUCCGUAGUACGGCGAGUGAGAGGGAAGAGCCCAAGAUUGAAAGCUGGCGUCUUCGGCGUCCGCAUUGUAAUCUCAAGAAGUGUUUUCCGCUUCGGACCAUGCCUAAGUCCCUUGGAAAAGGGCAUCAUAGAGGGUGAUAAUCCCGUACAUGGCAUGGAGCGCCCGAAGCUUUGUGAUACGCUUUCUAAGAGUCGAGUUGUUUGGGAAUGCAGCUCAAAAUGGGUGGUAAAUGCCAUCUAAGGCUAAAUAUUGGGGAGAGACCGAUAGCGAACAAGUACAGUGAUGGAAAGAUGAAAAGAACUUUGAAAAGAGAGUUAAAAAGUACGUGAAAUUGCCAAAAGGGAAGGGUAGGAGGUCAGAGAUGCGUCUUGGGAUUCAGCCUUGCUUUUUGCAUGGUGUUUUUCCCAAGUUGCAGGCCAACGUCGGUUUUGGGCACUGGAGAAGGGUGGAAGGAACGUGGCACCUCUCGGGGUGUGUUAUAGCCUUCUACUGGAUACAGCGACCGAGACCGAGGACAGCAGCGUACUCGCAAGAGCGGGCCUUCGGGCACCUUUACGCUUAGGGCGUUGGCAUAAUGGCCCUCUACCACCCGUCUG